ensembl:lncRNA
AGUUGUGCCCAAAAGUUUGCAUACCUCUUACAGAAUCUGCUAAAUCUUUAUACUGUUAACAAAAUAAGACGGAUCAUAAAAAUCCCGUUAUUUUUUAUUUAGUUCUGUCCUGAAUAAUCUAUUUCACAUAACAGAUGUUUACAUAUAGUGCACAAGACAAGAUAAUAGCUGAAUUUAUAAAUAUUACCCCGUUCAAAAGUUUACACACCCUUGCUUCUUAAUACUGUGUGUUGUCACCUGGAUGAUCAGCGACUGUGUUUAUGUUUUGUGAUAGUUGUUCAUGAGUCCGUUGUUUGUUCUGAGCAGUUAAACUGCCCACUGUUCUUCAGAAAAAUCUUCCAGGUCCUGCACAUUCUUUGCUUUUUCAGGAUCUUCUACAUAUUUGAGCCCUUUCCAACAGCGGUUGAGAUCCCAUCUUUUCACACAGAGGACAACUGAGGGACUCGUACACAACUAUUACAUAAGGUGCACACACUCACUGAUGUUCAAGAAGGCAACAUGAUAUGUUAAGAGCCAGGGGUGUAAACUUUUGAACAGGAUGAUGAGUGUAAAUUAUUAUUAUUUUGUUUAAAUAUCUUUUUUUUAUUUUUUAUUAGUAUUGCCCUUCAGAUGCUGAAUAAGAUAGUUACAUGUCUCCCGGAAGACAAAAUACUUGCAAUUUACAAUGAUCCUUCUGUUAAAAAGUUUACAUCCCCCUGCCUCUUAAUGUGUUGCUUUCUUGAGCAUCAGUGAAUGUUUGAACCUUUUGCAAUAGUCGUGUUCAAGUCCCUCAGUUGUCCUCAGUGUGAAAAGAUGGAUCUCAACAUCGUAUAGACACUGAAUUAUACAAAUAGACAAAACUUUCUAACCUGCACUCGUUUACGUCUCUUCCGUUUAUUCCAUUCUUUCUUCAACUACCUUAACAAUCAACGGCCCUGGGUCACUGCUGCCACCUUGUGGAACAACUACAUAGUGCAAAAGAAUUAAAUGCACACGUGCGACCGCAUGUACUUAAAGAGUAUAAGGAUUUGUCUAAGGGUGCUAAUCUUGGCGAGAGAUUGCCCAAGCAUUGUUCUUCGUGUUGUUGUGAUUCUUCUUCAUUGUCGUCCUUCACACCAGAAGACCUGCUUUACUGCUCUGUACUGACACUUGUAGGCCAGGAGGUGUAGUGCAAGUUGCCGUUAUUCACAUGCGUCAACUGUUUGUGUACACGUACAUGUCAAAUUGAGUAUGCUUUGAAAGGCUCACACAAAAUGAUAAGAGGACACACAUAACUUCUUUAGGAGGUAUUUUAAUUUCAUCAUUGCAAACCAUGCUUGUUUCCUCUCACCAAUAUUUAAAACAGAACGCAAGGCACACAUUGCCGAACACGGACAUUCUUUUUGGGUUUGCUGGUGCUCAAAACAAGUAUUUUUCAGGACUUCCUACAUUUUUUUGCUGCUGUUGUGGCAGCCAACAACAGCACAGCUUGACCCUGAACUCAUGUUUAUUCUUAUGAACACUCAAAAAGUUUCUGUUUAAUUAAUUCAAAUCAUUCUCUUCAGCCAAUUUUAAUAAGGGUUCCUAUAGAGACUGGAGCAGAAAAACAGUGGUUAGAAUCCAUCAUGGUGAAGCUCACUGGUUUCUUGGGAAAAAGGUGGAUAUGACCGUAUAUUCAGUAGCCACGUUUCUUCAAAUACACAGUAACAGCUAUGUUACAGCAGUGUACUUAGCUGGCUAGUUCUGUGGUUUCUCUAUAAUGAAAAUCAACCCCCAGAAGUGCUAACUGUUGAUUUUGAGUGCUGGGGUACUUUUAAGAACGUGGUAGUUGCGUAACCUUGGUAGAGAGUCUAGUUCUUUGUACUUGUUUAAUAAAGAGGUUAUAUGAGGAGAUUCCUGCCGAGUAAAGGGCAUCUCAAUGUACAAUCAAAUCUGAAUAGUUUGGCAAAUGCUGCAGGGCCUCUAGUUUCAGUAUUAGGAGACAUUAAAGGCUCCCAUUUCACGCUCUCCAUUGUGUCAAAUUGGUAUGCUAAUGAACCUGUGGAUAGUGCCAAGUGUAAAAGCUGAACGACUGUGUGAACUUCCACAGCAGUUGACCAAACUUUAUCUUACAUAUUUAGCAAUGGAAGAAUAUGGGCCUGUUUUACUAUUCCAGAGGCUUUCUCAGACCCGUGAAACCUACAGUAAAUUCUUUCUGGUUGUUUCUUAUGUUUAAUCUCUUCAAAAAAAUAACACAGUAACAUCUUCCAUUUAAAAAUACCACAAAGACUGAAGUGCAUGUUGGCCCAGAUGGAUUUGUUUGGCUUUACGUAACGUCUUAUUAUUCAUGCAGGAGAUUUUGUGGGUAUUAUAACAGUGGAGUGAAAAAAAAAUCUUUUCACAGUAGUGACUUUCUUUGUUGUAGUUGCAAUCAAAUCUCAAAUGUAACCCUGGAAUGAAUUUAUAUAAAGAUCAUCAAGCAAAGUACACAUUUCACAAACAUUUUCUUCUGUGAACAUUUUAAUGUAUGUUGCGUCAACAUCUGCAACAACUCAUUACUCAACAGUGCCAAUCCUGUUUUAAAAAUAUUGUUUAAUUGAAGAAGAAAAAGGCCUUCUGUCCAUUUUUGAGUGCCUCGUUAAAUUGUUUUCUUCCUAAGGCCUGUUAAUUAGGGUUUCUAUUUCUUAAGAUUGAUGACUAUGGAGGAGGGCUGCUUGCCUGCUUCUUUGCUGACUGGAUGGGUUUUGCUAAUGCCAGCUGUAAACGCAGUGGUGUGUAAGAUUUGGCAGGCAGCAGCUUUCCCCACGAGUCAGCUGAGCAUUGUGACCCAAGAAAAUAGUGUCCCUUUCUACCCGGCUACAUUUCAGCUCUAAAAAGAAAAGGCUGAACUGGUUAGGACCCCUUGUAACAUCCAUUGUCACUGGUUUAGUUUUUUACCCAUCAUCCAAGUAGAGGUGUGCAAUAUGUAUCGUCUAAGAUAAUAUUGUAAUUGUUGUUUUAACGAUGUGCGAGCUGACAUUAUCGAGUACGUCAUGCAUGUUGCAAAAACCAGUCAACAAACUGCCUUGAGUCUCCACACAUUCACUGCAUGAUGUAGCCUAGUAGGAUAGACUACCGCGCAUGUGCACUGGUAGUGCACACUUACACAGCGUGAUGCAGUGUGCUGGCGUAGCUGCCUAAAAAUGCAUGAUAAAGUUAAAAAUACCCCUACAUCCAAGGAGCUUGUAAUGCCUUGACUUAUUGCAACUAGAUAUUAGAUGACUGAAAAUACUCACAGAUCAUACUGAACCUGAUAUGACUCCUGCUCCUGGUGAUAGGAUGCUAGUAUGGCUUAACACUUAUUAAGAAGCAAUUUUAAGUAGCUAAAUUUCUGAUAAAUAAGCAGAUAUACAGUGGAUAUAUUUCCAGUGAGGUUAUUCACAUGAAAUUUUCAUCAGACAUCAGUAUAAACUCAAAAAAUCUGGAAAUAUAAAGAAUUCUCAACAUUACAUUCCAUAAAUAAAGUUAUGUGGAAUAAAGUGGAAUGACACGGGAAAAAAGCACUGAACACGCUAAGAAAAAGCAGUUCUCCAAGGCAAGAUAAGGCAAGGAACCAGCUGAAAUCUAUAAGUAAUUAUACCCCCCAUCUGUGCAAAUGAAUAUCAGCUGGGUUAGUAAAUUGAUGGUCUAUAAAAAGGCUUUUCGUUACCAAGGUGUCACACAAGAAACAUCUCAUGAUGGGUAAAAGCAAAGAGCUCUCGCAAGACCUUCAAACCUUAUUGUUGUGAAACAUAUUGAUGUAAUCAGAUACAGACGUAUUUCAGAAUAAUCCUCCAAUAAGCAUCAUUGUGGCCAUUAUCCACAAGUGGAAGCAACAUCACUCCGUCAUCAACCGGCCACGCACAGGAGCUCCUCACAAGAUUUCUGACCAGGGAGUCAGAAGAACAGUCAGAAGAGUAGCCUAAGAGCCAAGGAACACUCGGAAAGAGCUCCAGAAACACUUGGAGGCAGCAGGUGCCAUCGUCACAGAGAAAACAAUAGGCAGUGCACUCCACUGCUCACGCUCACCCGCAAGACUCCAUUACUAAAGAAAAGGCAUGUCGAAGCUCGUUUAAAGUUUACUACAACUCAUCUGGACAAGCCUAUGAGAUACUGGGAGAGUGUAGUCUGGUCAGACGAGAGCAGAAUUUAACUUUUCAGCUGUGAUACUACACACCAUGUUUGGAGAAGAAAUGUCACUGCACAUCUCCCUAAAAACACUACACCAACAGUGAAGUGUGGAGGUGAAGCAUCAUGGUGUGGGCUGUUUUUCAUCACAUGCUACUGGCAGACUUCAUAUAACUGAAGGAACGAUGAAUGGAGUCCUUUACGGGAGAUUCUUUAGAAGAAUCUGCUGCAUCCACCAGGAUGAUGAAGAUGAGACAUGGGUGGAGCUUCCAGCAGGACAACGAUCCAAAACAUACAGCAAAGGAAACUCUCAAUUGGUUUCAGAGAAAAUAAAUCAAGGUGUUAGAAUGGCCCUGUCAAUCACCUGACUCAAAUCCAACUGAACAAGAUUUAAAGACAAUAUGUUUAGAAGAACGGACCAAAAUCACACCUGAAUACUGCGGAACAUUAAUCUCUUCAUACAGGAAGUGUCUUGAAGCUGUGAUUACAAACAAAGACUUCUCCACUAAGUAUUAAAUACAUUUCAGUUAGCGUGUUCAAUACUUUUUUCCCGUGUCAUUCCACUUUAUUACACAUAAUGUCUGGGUUACACAUGCAACCCUGUUCCCUGAGAAGGGAACGAGACGUUGCGUGAGCUACAUGCUGUGGGAAGCGCCCUUGUGCGUGACCAGUAUCUGAAGCUUGUGUAACAUCUAGGGAUCUAGGGAUGUCACGGUACCAAGUCAGUACCAAAACGUUAAAACGUGACGAUAUUCGUUUUUCUGCAGUAGGGUAGGUACGGUUGGUAAUGAAGAUACCGAGGUUGCAAUUCUUCUAGAACUGAAGGGGGCAGCAAAUACGCGUAAGUGUUUUAGUUGGUCCACAAGUGGUGAAGAACGCCUACAAACACAAGGGAAAAACUACAGAGGAUGGCGACAAGUUUAGCUCCGCCCUGACUCAAAAGGUAUUAUGGAAAUACUUCGCAUUCGAGGCGGAUGACAACAAACAUAUAAUUGAUGCUCUGAAGCCGGUGUGCAACCGAUGCUAUUGUUCAUUUCAAACAAAGCGAGGAAACACCUGGAAUUUGGCGAAGCACCUGUAGCACCUGAAGCACCGGUCCUAUUUUAUGUUUGUUUGCGGCAGCUGCAUUGUGGCCAUGAAACCAGCUAGCGUUAUGCUCCAUGUAAUUUUAGCAAUAGCCAGUUAUUCAGAGUAUAAGGGGUGUGUGGGUGUGCGUGUGCGCAUGUGUUUAGGAGUGCACCUUAGCACUUGUAGCCUCUACUGUUUUAUUAGUUAUUGUCAGACAGUGUUUGAUAACUAAAAUAUCUCUCUCUCUCUCUCUCUUUCUCUCUCUCUCUCUCUGUCAGUAUUAGCCAGAGGAGGAUGUCCUUUGUUUUAUCAGCUGAUAAACAGUCCGUACAGGAUUUCGCAGACAUUUUUUUAUUCUCAUGGCCAAAAAUGCUUGACUUUGCUGUGGCUUUUUCAAAAAUGUUCGAUGCAACUGGCAGAUUUCUUUUAAAAAACUACUUGAAUUGGCGAAAUUGCAGUUGCAUGAAAUUGUUUUGCACAGUCUUUCAUAGUGAUGUCUGUUGGUAAAUGAGACCUUUCAGCUGUACUCAUGUUCGACGCACUUCAAUUGAAGAGAGCUUUGGCUGAAUGGGCGUUGUGAUGACGUCACAUGAUAAGUCUCGGCCCAAAUCUUUGGAAAAUCUGCUGUAAUUUAAAAAAAUCGCAAGCUCCCCCAAAUACUGCGGAUUUUGCUUGAUUUUGCAUUCAUUUCUUCCACAAAAUCAUGAAAAUUCAUUUAAAAAAUUUAAUUUUCUAAAAUUUCUCAAAUCUAAUUUUCCUUCGCACAGUCGCUAAAUUCUAGCGGAACUGGAUAAAGAACCUUAAAGUUGCAGUUUGUAAUGUGUAAAAGUGUUCUUAGAUUUAUAGUAAUAUAAAAAAUAUGAUUCACAACAGUGCCGUGGAAUGGAUUUCAAUAGU